UGGCGUCCCCUGACCCCAGGGCCGGGCAUGAGCCCGGUGGCCCCGGGCGCCCCGGGCUCGGGCGGGUCCUGCGGGAGGCGCUGGGAGAGGCCGGAGCUGCGGGAGCUGCGGAGGGGCCGGGACAGGAUUUCCCAUUCCCAACCAUUGGCCGGAUGGAAGAGCAGUCUUCAAGGCUCCCCUAGGCAGAGAAGGAGAAGAAGAUGAAGACCAGGGAGGACAAAUCCCCGUGGCAAAACCUCAUAGAAGAGGCCAUUUUGAGUGGCUCCACAGUGCAGGAACCCAACAGGGAGGCAAAAGCCCCAGAGAUCCCGCAUGAAGAGGGGCUGCAAACACAGAUCGCAGGGAUCUGAGGAGGAAAGACCCAACCUGGGCCGGGGAGGCAGUCAGAGAUGGAGACAGAGCUUGGAGCUGGUGGUCCAUGAGUAAGCUCAUGAUGGAGAGAAGCCCCACAUAUGCCUGGAGUGUGGGAAGAGCUUCAGCUGGAGCUCCAACCUGAUCCAGCACUGGAACAUCCACUCUGGGGAAUGGCCAUACAAGUGUGGGGGAUGUGGGAAGAGCUUCAGGCAACGUGCCACCCUGAUUGUCUACCAAAAGAUCCACACUGGGGAGAGGCCCUGUGAUUGUUCCGUGUGUGGGAAGAGGUUUCAUGUCAUCUCCCAUCUCCUUCAACAUCAGCUGUUAGAGGGAAUGCCGCGGGAGACAAGACUCAUGAUAUCAUGAUCAUCAAGUCUCAGUUUAUUGUAACAGAUUACACAGUUUAUAUAUGUUCGUUAAUUAGCUCAUACAUAUUGCAAAAGCCAAGCUCAUGAUUGGUUGCUAUGUGACUUGUACUAUUAUCUUAAAAGUAUCUUUAUGAUCGAUA